rnacentral:misc_RNA from 1 species
AAGGAGUAAGAAAGAAGGGAGGGAGAGUAGCAUGUGCUUAGCAUAUAACUCUCUCUCGCUUUCUUUCUCUUUCCGGUUAAUUACAAACUCGUAUGGAUUUGUAUGAACGUGAGACAUAUCGUUGGACCGUCACUGGCCAACAAAUAUAACCCAACUUUCGACAACGGAUUUUUUGGUUCUCCCAUCGAUGAAGAACGCAGGGAAACGCGAUAGGUAAUGUGAAUUGCAGAAUUCCGUGAAUCAUGGAAUCUUUGAACGCCCCUUGCGCUUUAUGGUAUUCCGUAGAGCAUGCCUGUUUGAGUGCCGUGAAUUCUCCCAUCCCAAGCGGUUUUUAUCAAAGAAUUGUUAGGGGAAGGGGUUGAGAUGGGCGUUGUUAUAACUGCUUUUUUUUUCUAGGAAAGCUCGCCCGAAAAACAGCUAACGCCUUUGGGCCCCUUUGCAUCCGCUUUUUUGAGGGGAGAAGCGGCCAAGCGCGCUUUGAUCAUCAGGCAUAGCAUGAUACGUCAUUUGUUAUGCUGUAGGAGAGCAUUUGGUUGUGGUUAUACCGCGUGCGUCAUUUUUUUUUUUGCAAAAAGGAAAAGGAAAAA